rnacentral:sRNA from 1 species
GCCAGGCGCGGUGGCGCACACCUGUAAUCCCAGCAGCUUGGGAGGCUAAGGCAGGAGGAUCACAAAUUCAAAGCUAACCUCAGCGAUGUAGCGAGACCCUAAGCAACUCAGCAAGACCCUGCCUCUA